GAUGAAGAACGUAGCGAAAUGCGAUAAGUAGUGUGAAUUGCAGAAUUCAGUGAAUCAUCGAAUCUUUGAACGCACAUUGCGCCCCUUGGUAUUCCAUGGGGCAUGCCUGUUCGAGCGUCAUUUGUACCUUCAAGCUCUGCUUGGUGUUGGGUGUUUGUCUCGCCUCUGCGUGUAGACUCGCCUUAAAACAAUUGGCAGCCGGCGUAUUGAUUUCGGAGCGCAAUACAUCUCGCGCUUUGCACUCAUAACGACGACGUCCAAAAGUACAUUUUUACACUCUUGACCUCGGAUCAGGUAGGGAUACCCGCUGAACUUAAGCAUAUCAAUAAGCGGAGGA
rnacentral:misc_RNA from 1 species